ACGGGGUGCAGCAGGCGCGAAAACUCUCCAAUGUGCGAAAGCGUGAGAGGGGAAUUCCUAGUGCUACGGGUUUAUCCCGUGGCUUUUGCCAAGUGUAAAUAGCUUGGCGAAUAAGUGGUGGGCAAGACUGGUGCCAGCAGCCGCGGUAA
rnacentral:rRNA from 1 species